AGAGUUUGAUCCUGGCUCAGGAUGAACGCUAGCGACAGGCUUAACACAUGCAAGUCGAGGGGCAGCACGGUGUAGCAAUACACUGGUGGCGACCGGCGCACGGGUGAGUAACACGUGUGCAACCAACCCCGUACCGGGAGAUAACCCGCGGAAACGUGGACUAACAUCCCAUAAUACUGGAGGAUCGCAUGAUCUUUCAUUUAAAAUUCCGGUGGUACGGGACGGGCACGCGCGACAUUAGGUAGUUGGCGGGGUAACGGCCCACCAAGCCGACGAUGUCUAGGGGUUCUGAGAGGAAGGUCCCCCACACUGGAACUGAGACACGGUCCAGACUCCUACGGGAGGCAGCAGUGAGGAAUAUUGGUCAAUGGGCGAGAGCCUGAACCAGCCAAGUCGCGUGAGGGAAGAAUGGUCUAUGGCCUGUAAACCUCUUUUGUCAAGGAAGAAUAAAUUGCACGUGUGCGAUCUUGCCAGUACUUGACGAAUAAGCAUCGGCUAACUCCGUGCCAGCAGCCGCGGUAAUACGGGGGAUGCGAGCGUUAUCCGGAUUUAUUGGGUUUAAAGGGCGCGUAGGCGGGACGCCAAGUCAGCGGUAAAAGACUGCAGCUAAACUGUAGCACGCCGUUGAAACUGGCGCCCUCGAGACGAGACGAGGGAGGCGGAACAAGUGAAGUAGCGGUGAAAUGCUUAGAUAUCACUUGGAACCCCGAUAGCGAAGGCAGCUUCCCAGGCUCGAUCUGACGCUGAUGCGCGAGAGCGUGGGUAGCGAACAGGAUUAGAUACCCUGGUAGUCCACGCCGUAAACGAUGCUCACUGGAUCUUGGCGAUACACCGCCAGGGUUCAAGCGAAAGUAUUAAGUGAGCCACCUGGGGAGUACGUCGGCAACGAUGAAACUCAAAGGAAUUGACGGGGGCCCGCACAAGCGGAGGAACAUGUG
rnacentral:rRNA from 1 species